rnacentral:rRNA from 1 species
UGCGCAGGCGGCUUGUCAAGUCGUGUGUGAAAUACCCGGGCUUAACCCGGGGGGUGCAUACGAAACUGGCGAGCUUGAGUGCAGGAGAGGGGAGCGGAAUUCCUAGUGUAGCGGUGAAAUGCGUAGAUAUUAGGAGGAACACCAGUGGCGAAGGCGGCUCUCUGGACUGCAACUGACGCUGAGGCACGAAAGCGUGGGGAGCAAACAGGAUUAGAUACCCUGGUAGUCCACGCUGUAAACGAUGGAUACUAGGUGUAGGGGGUGUAUGCCCUCUGUGCCGGAGCUAACGCAAUAAGUAUCCCGCCUGGGGAGUACGGCCGCAAGGUUGAA